rfam:Spirochaeta coccoides DSM 17374, complete genome.
GGACGCGUGGCGCAGCUGGAUAGCGCGAUUGCCUCCGGAGCAAUAGGUCGUGGGUUCGAAUCCCGCCGCGUUCA